rnacentral:rRNA from 1 species
UUAUACUAGGAUUAGAUCCCCUAUUAUUGAAAAUGUAAAUUUAAAAUGCUAAACUAGUAGUAGUUAUGUUCUUGAAAAUUAAAGAUUUCGGCGGUAUUUUAGUCUUUUCAGAGGCACCUGUUCUAUAAUGAUAUUCCACGAUUUAUUAUUCUUGGAUUAUUAGUUUGCCAUCGUCGUCAGUUGCAUAUCCAAAAGAAAUAGCAUAAUCAAAAUUCCCGAUGAUCAAGAACCUCAGAUCGAG